UGAGGUCAGGUGCUUUGACAAUGUUGCACUACUGUACCAUCUAUUCUAGCAGUGCAAUAGUAUUGUCAUAGCAUUUAGCCUC
rnacentral:pre_miRNA from 10 species